rnacentral:rRNA from 1 species
UACGGAGGGUGCAAGCGUUAUCCGGAUUUACUGGGUUUAAAGGGUGCGUAGGCGGGUUGGUAAGUCCGUGGUGAAAUCUCCAAGCUUAACUUGGAAACUGCCGUGGAUACUAUCAAUCUUGAAUAUCGUGGAGGUAAGCGGAAUAUGUCAUGUAGCGGUGAAAUGCUUAGAUAUGACAUAGAACACCAAUUGCGUAGGCAGCUUACUACACGAUCAUUGACGCUGAGGCACGAAAGCGUGGGGAGCAAACAGG